rnacentral:rRNA from 1 species
UACGUAGGGUGCGAGCGUUAAUCGGAAUUACUGGGCGUAAAGCGUGCGCAGGCGGUCCGUUGUGUCCGAUGUGAAAGCCCCGGGCUUAACCUGGGAAUGGCAUGGGAAACUGGCGGGCUGGAGUGUGGCAGAGGGGGGUGGAAUUCCGCGUGUAGCAGUGAAAUGCGUAGAGAUGCGGGGGACCCCCGAUGGCGAAGGCAGCCCCCUGGGCCAACACUGACGCUCAGGCACGAAAGCGUGGGGAGCAAACAGG